CAGUUGAAACGACUGAUAAUACCGCAUAAGCGCACAGUAUCACAUGAUACAGUGUGAAAAACUACCGGUGGUACAAGAUGGUCCCGCGUCUGAUUAGCUUGUUGGCGGGGUAACGGCCCACCAAGGCGACGAUCAGUAGCCGACCUGAGAGGGUGACCGGCCACAUUGGGACUGAGACACGGCCCAAACUCCUACGGGAGGCAGCAGUGGGGAAGUAUUGCACAAUGGAGGGAAACUCUGAUGCAGCGACGCCGCGUGAGUGAUGAAGUAUUUCGGUAUGUAAAGCUCUAUCAGCAGGGAAGAUAAUGACGGUACCUGAGUAAGAAGCUCCGGCUAAAUACGUGCC
rnacentral:rRNA from 1 species